UCCCUGGUGGUCAAGUGGCUAAGACUCUGCACUCCCAGUGCAGGAGGCCCAGGUUCAAAUCCUGGUCAGGGAA